rnacentral:rRNA from 1 species
CUACGGGAGGCAGCAGUGGGGAAUUUUGGACAAUGGGCGCAAGCCUGAUCCAGCAAUGCCGCGUGCAGGAUGAAGGCCUUCGGGUUGUAAACUGCUUUUGUACGGAACGAAACGGCUCUCUCUAAUACAGGGGGCUAAUGACGGUACCGUAAGAAUAAGCACCGGCUAACUACGUGCCAGCAGCCGCGGUAAUACGUAGGGUGCGAGCGUUAAUCGGAAUUACUGGGCGUAAAGCGUGCGCAGGCGGUUAUGUAAGACAGAUGUGAAAUCCCCGGGCUCAACCUGGGACCUGCAUUUGUGACUGCAUAGCUAGAGUACGGUAGAGGGGGAUGGAAUUCCGCGUGUAGCAGUGAAAUGCGUAGAUAUGCGGAGGAACACCGAUGGCGAAGGCAAUCCCCUGGACCUGUACUGACGCUCAUGCACGAAAGCGUGGGGAGCAAACAGGAUUAGAAACCCCUGUAGUCC